rnacentral:lncRNA from 1 species
UAGAAUUGGAACCUGGAAUUUGAACUGCAGAUACAGACAACUACACAUGUCUUUCAAGAACAGUUUGCUGGGUGUUGACCAACAUCAAACUGCUUAUCCAGGAACCACUAGAAGUGAAUCUCUUCUUGAGUAUUCCAUACUGCUGCCCCUGCUAUUCACUUGGGGUCCCAGUCAGUUGUUACUAUGUAUCCUUUCUCAGUGUAUGUGAUAUGCCAUGUGCCAGACCACCAAACUGUGGUGUCAGAGGAAAAUGUGAGGCAUUGUAAGAUGAAAAUUCAUAGAAUAUAUGUGGAAUAUAGAGGCUAAGCAGUCUGCCAUCAAUGGAAGCAUAGCUUGAACACUCUUAACACAAAUAUUUGGUCAUUCAUUGUAUGGUGUAAAUCUAAUAAUAUUUUUUUCCUUUAACUACCUGAUAAGUGAUACCUUUUUUUGGCA